GACGAACGCUGGCGGCGUGCUUAACACAUGCAAGUCGAGCGGUAAGGCCCUUUCGGGGGUACACGAGCGGCGAACGGGUGAGUAACACGUGGGUGACCUGCCCUCAGCUCUGGGAUAAGCCUGGGAAACUGGGUCUAAUACUGGAUAUGACUCCACGGUGCAUGUCGUGGGGUGGAAAGCCUUGUGCGGCUGAGGAUGGGCCCGCGGCCUAUCAGCUUGUUGGUGGGGUGAUGGCCUACCAAGGCGACGACGGGUAGCCGGCCUGAGAGGGCGACCGGCCACACUGGGACUGAGACACGGCCCAGACUCCUACGGGAGGCAGCAGUGGGGAAUCUUGCGCAAUGGGCGAAAGCCUGACGCAGCGACGCCGCGUGAGGGAUGACGGCCUCGGUGU
rnacentral:rRNA from 1 species